AUGGAAGGGGGGUGGGGAUGACGUCAAGUCAUCAUGGCCCUUACGGCCUGGGCUACACACGUGCUACAGUGGUCGGUACAGAGGGUUGCGAAGCCGCGAGGUGGAGCUAAUCUCACAAAACCGAUCGUAGUCCGGAUCGCAGUCUGCAACUCGACUGCGUGAAGUCGGAAUCGCUAGUAAUCGCAAAUCAGAAUGUUGCGGUGAAUACGUUCCCGGGCCUUGUACCACACCGCCCGUCACACCAUGAGAGUGGGUUGCACCAGAAGUAGCU
rnacentral:rRNA from 1 species